GGACUACACGGGUAUCUAAUCCCGUUUGCUCCCCUGGCUUUCGCGCAUCAGCGUCAGUAGAGAUCCAGCGCGCCGCUUUCGCCACCGGUGUUCCUUUUGAUAUCUACGCAUUUCACCGCUCCACCAAAAGUUCCGCACGCCCCUAUCUCCCUCAAGACGGCCAGUAUCAGGGGCACUUCCACGGUUGAGCCGUGGGCUUUCACCUCUGACUUGACCACCCGCCUACGCGCCCUUUAAGCCCAGUGAUUCCGAACAACGUUUGCACGGUUCGUCUUACCGCGGCUGCUGGCAC
rnacentral:rRNA from 2 species